rnacentral:rRNA from 1 species
AGAAUCAACGCUGGCGGCGUGCCUAACACAUGCAAGUCGAACGAGAAAGUGGAGCAAUCCAUGAGUAAAGUGGCGACCGGGUGAGUAACACGUGACUAACCUACCUUCGAGUGGGGGAUAACCUCGGGAAACCGAGGCUAAUACCGCAUAACAUCGUGAGAUCAAAGCAGUAAUGCGCUGGAAGAGGGGGUCGCGGCUGAUUAGCUAGUUGGCGGGGUAAUGGCCCACCAAGGCGAAGAUCGGUAGCCGGCCUGAGAGGGCGCGACGGCCACACUGGAACUGAAACACGGUCCAGACUCCUACGGGAGGCAGCAGUGGGGAAUUUUGCGCAAUGGGGGAAACCCUGACGCAGCAACGCCGCGUGGAGGAUGAAGUCCCUUGGGACGUAAACUCCUUUCGACCAAGACGAUAAUGACGGUACUGGUGGAAGAAGCACCGGCUAACUCUGUGCCAGCAGCCGC